UGGGAAUUUGGACAAUGGGCGAAAGCUGAUCCAGCAAUGCCGCGUGUGUGAAGAAGGCCUUCGGGUUGUAAAGCACUUUUGUCCGGAAAGAAAUCCUUGGCUCUAAUACAGUCGGGGGAUGACGGUACCGGAAGAAUAAGCACCGGCUAACUACGUGCCAGCAGCCGCGGUAAUACGUAGGGUGCAAGCGUUAAUCGGAAUUACUGGGCGUAAAGCGUGCGCAGGCGGUUUGCUAAGACCGAUGUGAAAUCCCCGGGCUCAACCUGGGAACUGCAUUGGUGACUGGCAGGCUAGAGUAUGGCAGAGGGGGGUAGAAUUCCACGUGUAGCAGUGAAAUGCGUAGAGAUGUGGAGGAAUACCGAUGGCGAAGGCAGCCCCCUGGGCCAAUACUGACGCUCAUGCACGAAAGCGUGGGGAGCAAACAGGAUUAGAUACCCUGGUAGUCCACGCCCUAAAACGAUGUCAACUAGUUGUUGGGGAUUCAUUUCCUUAGUAACGUAGCUAACGCGUGAAGUUGACCGCCUGGGGAGUACGGUCGCAAGAUUAAAACUCAAAGGAAUUGACGGGGUCAUAGCUGUUUCCU
rnacentral:rRNA from 1 species